rnacentral:tRNA from 1 species
GGAGGGAUGCGAGAGCGGCCGAUUCGGCACGCUUGGAAAGCGUGUGUGGCGUUACAGUCACCGUGGGUUCGAAUCCCACUCCCUCCGCC